CAGGAAAGAACACAACAGCCGCCUUGCCCAUGCUUGGCUGAGGAUGAGGAUAACUGGAAUGCAGCCCAAAUCAGGUGUGGCACUGAGUUAUCUUCAUUAAAAAUAGGAAGGAGUCGGCCGGAAAUGGAUUUAGAUGCACUUGUACUUUUGCUUGGUGUCACCCCAGCUUUCGGGACUGUUUCACCAACAUCAUGCAAGGAUGGUUCUCGGUACAUGGCAACUAGGAAUGUAAAGAAAGGCAGAUGAAAAGAAGAGGUUUGUGGUUACCAUGCAAGAAUAGCACAUCACCUUUUGCACAAACCUCAGCCAGUCUAUGUCUGUUUUCUGAGAAUGAACUCAAUCCCAUUGAUAACAGGA
ensembl:antisense Gm28932 predicted gene 28932